rnacentral:tRNA from 1 species
CAAUUAAUAAUUUAAAAAGAAUGAUAAUUUUGGAGAUUGUUUGUAUAAGUAUAAUUUAUUUAAUUGA